UGAUGUGUGAUUUUAAUCUAAAAUAUAUUUUCUCUGUCCUGGAGCCUACUUCAUUACCUUCUUCAGUCUGUGUUAGUGGACUUUCCCUCUUUAUCUGUAUCAAAGAACUACAGAUUCUACACAAUGGGAAGAGAUCUUUAGAACCAUAUUCUGCUAACGUUUCACACAUAGCACUCCAGCUGAAGAAUGGAACUAAACUAAAGACUGAUUGCUUAUGUCAGUCUGAAUUUCUACAAGAUCCUGUACUCUGUGGGGUUUGCUUUAACUCCCAGCUAAUCAAAAUGCAGCACAGAAUCCAAAGGAGGACGACUUCCUCUGAGUGCCCUGAGGGGCACACACUACCCAAAGGAAGUGAGAAAGAGGCAAUAUGCACAGGCACAUAAGAGAACAUCUUUGGAUCAUAAUCUAUUGCAUCAUCUUGUUCGUUGCAGCAUACAACUGUGGUAACAGGCAUCCUUUGUUAGUCACUAGGAGCAUGUGGACACAAUUCUCCACAGGUCCUGAUUCAGCAAGGGGCCUAACUGGAAGCAUGUGAGCAGUGCCAUUGACUUAACCGGGGCUAUUCAUAUUCAGAUGUUUUCUGCUCACUUCAGAUUCCUAAACCUUGGUGCAGCAUCUAUCUUUUGAAAUCUCACAUUGGUACCUUCUUUGUGUUUUGUCAAAUACUGCAGUGAAAGUGUCCUUAAAUCAAACAACAUCAUCCGAGACUACCAUAACACAAAAUAUAUGGCAGAAUGCAGGUAAAACAGAA